GCAAAGCCAUGAAGCAGACAGAUACCUGCAUUAACCAAUACAUUACAAAUCACCAUCACAUUUUUUUAAAAACACAUAACCUUCCAUAAAAUUUUUACACUUGAAAAUAACCUCUUGAUAUAAGUCACAACAAGAAUUAAAGGUCAAAGACAAAUGUUAUCCCGUAAAUCCAAUUAAUAAUUCUCGUAUGAAGUACAUCUCCAAGAAAUUAUAUAGAAAUAUAGAGAGUAGAAUCAAAUAAAUAGAAAUAACCAAAAUAAAAAUUAAAAAUUAACUCAAAUAAAUUCAAAUAGUCCAUAAAAAUGAUAUUUGUCUGAGCCAAAUAAUCAGUCUAUAAAAGUAAAUGUAAAAGAUAAGAGAAAAUAAUAUUAAUUGGGAAGGUAAUAAAUCAAAAGACAAGUAUAUAACCAAUUCUGCUUCUUUUAGGUAUCAAUCCUGAAGUGAUGGAUGAAAAGAAUAUAAAAGUAGGAAUUCGUAAAGACACUUAUUUCUGUUUUGAUUCUUUAAAAGAAAUAAAAGUACAAUCUUGGAGAACUGUUAAUUUCCAGUUUCUGGUACAAUCUAGUCCAACCAGUCUCCAUUUCCUUGUAAACAAUUAAUGUGAUAAAAACCUUUCAUAAAAAUGCAUAUUUAAUGCUAAAGAAGUAACAUUCUAUCUUGAAAGUACCGAGACUUUAAUCUUUUAAGGUGAAAACUUCAACAAAAAGAGCUGGAAGGUAUUUUUUGAAGCUAAAGCAAUGGACUUGUGAAUUUCUUAUUGAAUACAAGAAAACUUAGUGUUUCAUAGUCAUGGAAAAAAUGCUAAAUUUAUGGUGAAUUGCUUUAGCUUCAACCUAAAGUUACGAGGGAAAAGAGGAAAUUGUACCAAAACAAUGACCACUUACAGGUCCAUUCAUAUUUCUUCACUAAAAUAUGAUAUAAGAGAUUUCGUUUGUCAUUGAACCCGGUAGGUAUUUACAAAAUGGGUUUAUGCAACUUUUCAAAAAUGUUUAAUAGUCUUUACAGUUCUCUUGGGCAUGAAUUAGGAAAAAAAAGCUAUUUUAGAAUAUAAUUUCCAGAAACAUUGAACAUUUAUGCAACUAGGAAUUGCAAUAAUUAUAGAAACUAGCGAUAGUUUCACAUUGCAGCAAAAACUUAGCUAAAAAAGAUAUUUAUCUACACCAACAAAAAUUUAAGGGAAAAACAUGUGUUUUGAAGGAUAAAUACUUAUAGGUGAGUAAAGCAAGCUACAGCAUAACUUUUCACCACUUCUUAAGAGGUUUAUAACCCAAAAAAUAAUAGAAAAGAUAAAUUGAUUCUGAUUGCAUAGAGAUAUAUUUCUUAUUGUUGAUAAGGUAUCAUAUUAGCCCCACAUGUUUUGAGUACCACAUACAUUAAUAAUUAUGUCUUUUACUAGCCCACCAGCAAAUACUAUUAUAAUUAGAUACAAGCAUUAUAAGAACAUGUAUGUUUUCAUCUAGACUACAUGUUACUGAAUGCACUUUAAAAGCUAACGACUAUCAUAAAACUGUAAAAUUUCUAAAAUGGAUGAAAACUACACACCGCAAAGCAACGGCGAAGUGAGUUUUCAUGAUACAUAAGUGGCUGUGAUUAUAGUGCCACUUCUAGAACAAGGCCAUCUCAACCAUAUUCUCCACCCCUCGAAGCUCAUCAACUCAUAUAAUAUCCUAAUACACUAUGUUAGAGCAAUCACACAUAUUCGCCAGGCCAAGUUUUAUGUCUAUGAUUUUGAUCCCGUCACAGCUAAAAAUCUAUAUUUUCAUGAAUUUCCUACAUCAUCUUUUGAAAAUCUCCCUCCAAACCAAAAUUUUUCCCAUAAAUUUCCUAAUCAAUUAAUGCCUUUGGUUCACGCAACAAUCCAUCUCCGAGAGCCAGUGUGCUCUCUUGUACGCCAACUUUUCAGCGCCAAUCAUCGAAGAGUGGUUGUUAUUUAUGAUUCUCUGAUGACUUUGGUAGUACAGGAUGUACCAGCAAUUCUAAAUGCCGAGUGCUACCAUUUUAAUAGUAUCUCAACUUUCUAUACGUUUUCAGCCAUCUGGGAAGCCAAAGAAAAACCUUUCCACAAAAGCUUAGAGCAGUUAGUACAACAUAAAAUUCACAAAUCAUAAAAUCCAAAUAAAAUUCACAAAAUUCAAUCUCCACAAAAUCUAGUCUCCACAAAAUCCAAAUAAAAUUUCUCCUGUCCCCUAAAAAAUAAAAAUAUAAUUUUUACAUGCAAAUUUUUUCAUAGUCCUGGAAAGAUGCUUGAAAAAAAUACUCUCGAUUAUGAAAAAAAGCAUAUGCAAGGCAAACUAGAGAUAAGAAGACCUACCUGAGAAGAAGACCUUUCAUCGGAGAAGUAUAAUUGGAGAAAAAGACCGAUUUCUUGCUCAGAUAAAAAUAGCAAAACUCAAAUUAUUUAAGAGAAAAUCGUUAACUUCAAGCGCAAUUGCAUAAACACUUUCUUAUGAUCAAGAAAUCAUACAAGAAAGUACUAUUGGUGUGAGUGUGAUGGAGAAAACAACAAUGUGAUGUUUCAAAUAACAAUUUCUAGUGAAAAUGCAAAAAGAAGAAAAAUCCUAAUACCAAUUUGAGAAUUUGUCAAGAUCUAAACCAGUUCUUGGCCAUGAUGGGUAUCUCAAGUUCCAUAUGGAUCAAAGACCACCGCCUGGACCUAAUCAAACAACAUAAUAUCCCUAAUGUUGGAUGAAUUCCGAACAUAUAGGAUAAGCUUAAAGAUAUUUAAACCAUGACUAUAAUUCGUCAACCUGAAAUCGGCCAAAUAACUUACCAACAAUACCUAAGACCACAUUAAUCUAACAAAUCUUUCUAAAUAAAGGACCAAAAUUGAAUACCAAUAAAGUGUCGGGACAUACCCCGACUAUAGACAAAACAAGUCUAAACAAUCUGAGAUAAAAGAGACUUAACAUAAAAUGUAGACUUCCUAUGUAUGGAAGCUCACCACUUCAAUGUCAACUCAUGAACUGACCACGAAUCCGUAUAACUGUGCAGGAGAAGUAUAAGUAUGAUCAAUUCCUGUAUCGUGUGGAGAUACAAUAUCCAAAGAUGGUUAGCGAGGUGAAUGCUAGCAUGUAACUCAGGGAUAAGAAUAACAUAAUUCCAUAAUCAACAGUUUGAAACUCAUACAAAAUAUAGUGCACAUAAUGAAAUGCAUAUACAUAUAUAUAUACAUAUACAUAUAUAUAUAUAUACAUAUACAUAUACAUAUAUAUAUACGUGAAUAGAUAUAUAUAUAUAUAUGUGUGUGUGUGUGUUUAUAUAUAUAUAUAUAUAUAUCAUAUGUCGGGAUAGGGAACAAGGCUUAGCGUGCACUUUAAAACUUUAGCCUGGAUUGUAUAGUUCAACCAUCAUAUAAUAGUAUCCAUAUGUUAUAUGGGACCCAAUUCUCACUCCCUAGUUGGGCCCCGGUGCGUGUAGCUGCACAAAUCGAAGAAUAAUAUCAUAUAUAUGUACAGGGGACUCGAAUCACCCAAUCAUAUACUAAGGUGACUUAAGCACCUAAUCAUGAAAUAUGAUAUGGGGGACUCGAACCGUCCAAUCAUAAUAAUAUCAAUAAGGUGGACUCAAACCACCUGGUCAGAAGCAAGGGGACUCGAACCCUCAAGCCAUAAGAAUGACGCAUCGGCUUGCAUGGUUUCCAGUGUCGGUCACUCAGACCUCCACUUUCAUGACUCAUGUACACAACCCUCAUUUAAUCCCAACUAAAAAAAUUAUUACACAUUCCCAUUCAUUAAACUAUAUUACACAUUAAGGUAUACAUACCAACUACACUUGUAAGGUAACAACAAUAUGACAAAAUAAUUACACCACUCGGGGGAAUUCAUAACCCCCUUGGUUUAAUUACAUAAUAGCUUGUUGUAACACAAACCCAUAAGGUUCAAUGCAAUAUCAUAAUGCAAUAGUUCAAGAAUAGUUUAAUUCCCACAUUUCUCAAUACUAAAAACCAAUCUCAUAAUAUGAGGUUAGGGUCAUAACUACUUCAAAAGCUACAAGUUUUGGGAAAGUCAUAAUUCCCUAGUUCAUUCACCAUACCCAUGUACCCAUAAGUUCAAAAACCAUGUUUAAAGCAUAAAUAGUCAUAAAUAAGACAUGGAAAAACAUUGUUCAACAAUAAGCAUUCAAAACCCUCAACCCUUGUUUCAAAACCAACAUUAAUUUCUCAUGAACAAUACUUUAAAACAUAUGAUUUUGAAAAAUUAACAAUGAGGAAAGAGUAACUUGCCUGAAAUACCAAGUUUUAUGGAAAGAAUCCAACCCUUAAGCCCUUGGAUGACCUACUUCUUAGAAACCCUAAGCAUGGCUGCUUGAGAGAAUUUAAAAGAGAGAAAGUGUAAUUAUGUUGAGUUAUGGUUGAGAAUAGGUCCCAAAUAAGAUUAUAAGUCAUGGAUUGUCAGUGGGAUAGGAGGUAAAUAUCUAAAAUACCCUCUUUAAAAGUUGGAAAAAUAACUCGUCAGUUGGCGACGAGUGACCUUACGAUUCGUACCAUAUGACUUGGACCAUCAAGUCAUAGCCAAACCAAAUCCCCGUUGGAUCUUCACAGUGAACCCUAUGACUAGCACCCUACAUCUCAUAAUGAGACACUACGACUUGUAGGGUCAAGUCAAAGUCUCAACAGAUUCAAUAGAGGCACUAUACUGAAUACAUUACGAAAUACCCUCCUUACAACUCGUUAGAAGUCUAUAUGACUCAUUAAGUAUAGUCAUUAUAAAGGCAGUGACUUAGGAAAAUCCUUAUAGGAUUAUUACGGUUGGGUUCUAUGACCUAUAAAGACACAUUACGACUCAUCAGGUGAGUUGUUGCUAGGGCAGAAAGCCUAGAACUCAGAAAAUUUCAAAGGACCAAAACCCAGGACGUUACAGUACUGAGCGGAGCAAACUAAUUGAUUAUAUUGAAAGGAGAAUACUGAAUGGAGUACUGAGUGGAGCACAUAAGGAGAAAUAGUGUAGCACCCUAAAAGUACCUCCUGGACGCCAUAUGGUGCUUAAGACUAUGAAUAGUCCUAAGCUAACCCAUAAUAUCUAUUCAACUUGAAACCCACAUAAAAAACUAAACUAACAAAUAUAGAAAUGGAAGGUAACAAUUUCAUAUCUUAAUAUAAAUCUUUAACUUUGGAAACCUAAAACAAAUUCCUUGAACUUAAAACAUACACAGUCUGACAAGCCUCCACCACUAACUAGAGAGCCACUGGAACAGGCUCCAGUAGAACUACACAUAAAGGAAAAUCAAGUAACUAAAGUACUUUAAUCAAUGAACAAAAGUCUGAUAAGUUGGAUCCUCAGACUAUGAGGACUCACCAAAAGUCAGGAUGUAGGUAAUGAUACCCAUCAUCAAUCAUGCUACUGGAAAUGAGCACCAGAACAUACAUUAUAAGAUAAUGUAGCACAUAGACGUAUAUGUGGGUUAGUACUUUUGGAAUGUACAAAGUAUGUGGGGGUGAGUGAAUAAAUAAAACAAGAGUUGUAUAUAUGUAAACUUUCAAAUAAUGUAUACUAAGUAUAAGUGACUUACCUUGGACUUGAGUAAAAUAAAGGCUGCAAGAUCAUAAAACAUGGAUAAUGAAGCAUAUGAAAAUCUUAGUGAGCCACAACACUUAGUUUCUAAAAUCUUUACUUUUAUUCUUUCUUAUGAGAAAUUUAUCUAACCGAAAUAAAUAAUGUGAGAUACCAUGGAUUCCAAAGUCUUACCCACGUUGGAGAGAGCUAUUCUAUCCUUUCCAUUGGAAUAGAACCUUAACUUAACUGAUCACUAUACUUCAUCCAUAUUAGGAAAAAUCUUAACCUAUGAUGGCUUGUGGUUUUCAGGAAUUUAGGAUACGCUCAUCUUCAUUCCUUUCUUGAUGGUAAAUACUGCUCCUAGAAUACAUAUAUGCUCAUAUAUAAGAAAUCCACCUUAAAAUAGCAUAAGGGUUUAUAGACUUAAAACCAUUUAUGCCACUCUUUACUUUAAAUCAUAACAAGGUGAACAAUUUAUGGAUUUCAUGUCUUAUCUUAAGAUAAAAAGAUCAAGCUUUCUAGAAUCAUUCUAUAUUGCAUAUGAAUGGAACUUCAAAAGGCUUAAACUUUCUUAUAAAUUUAAUGCUUCUUCUUGAAUCUUGAAACUUUUACUUUUUUUAAUAGCACUUAUGACAAAAUAUUACGCUCAAUGCCCACAUGGAAAUCUUCCUUCAGAAUCCAAAACAAAGUAAUGAAAUUAAAAAAACAAUAGAAAUCUGAAAGUUCAAAACAUGAAUAGAUGCAACCUUUAUGCAUCGUUAGCCUUAAAAUCACAUGAUAAUGGUAUGCUUCAAUAUAUAUGAGAAUUCAAGGGAUCAACCCUAAUAUAAAACAAGUAAAUUCAAUCUUAAAAUCAUGCUUUUUGGGCACAAGGAUGUAAGAUUAACCUUAUUCAAAAACUCCACAUACCUGAAAUUAUUUGACUUGUGAAGAAAACUUAAACUUUGAGACUUGAGAGAUGAAUUAGUUAGAAAACCCUAAUCUUGUUGUUAUUGAAGAUGGGAGGAGAAAAAAAUAUUAUUAAUCAAUUGAAGGAUAGAGAAAAUAAUGCCUCUUUGGGGUUAUAGGUCAUGGCUUGGGAAUUAUAAGAGGGAAAAAGAUGAAAAAUCCCUCUAACUGAAUUUAACAGAAAUUGAUUGCCAGUCAUCACGAGUUAACCAUAUGACUCAUAUGAUGAGGGUAUGGGUUGGACUAGUAACUCGUAAGCAUGACAGUGGCAAAGAUAACACACACUGGUCAACCUAUGAGUGGUAACUUAUGAUUCAUUACUUGUUUAUACAACUUGAAACAACCACUCGUAUCUUGGUUAGAAUCUUAAGGAACCUAUACUACGUAACUCACGACCUUACUUCAUAUGACUCGUACCAUGCUUUGAUGAUUUCUAAGGUCAACUCGUAUCUACAACAGACUUUAACUACUCUAAACUGCCAUAGGUACAACUUACUAUAUACGACUCUUAUGUUAUAUGUACGACUCAAUGGAAUGAGUCAUAUGUUGUACAGUAGCUUUCAGACACGGGGUAUUACAAUAUCUCCCUCUAUGAAACAUUCGUCCUUGAAUGUGAUUCAUCUUGGAUUUGAAAAAGAUUCAACACCUCUGCACUAAAUUUAUAUCCAAACUUAUACCUAUCGCGAGGAUCCAAUUACUCACAACAUAAGAUAGGACUUAAGAAUACUUAAACAGACUUAAAGAGAAAGUAUUUUGGCUGAAAAUAACUAUUUACCUUCUGUGUAACUAAGUUGGAAAAAAAGAGAUGAGGAUACUUGGUCAUCAUGACUGCUUCAGCUUCCUAGUUGGCCCCUUCAACCAAUUGGUUUGUCCAAAGAACCCUUACUAGCGCUACUUCUUUAUUCCUUAUCCUUCGGACCUGCCUAUCAAGUAUCUCCACAAGAAUCUCCUCAUAUGACAAGUUAUCUUUGACCCAAUACUCUCUAGGGGAACUGCUAAGGAUGGAUCUCUAAUGCACUUCUUAAGCAUCGAAACACGGAACACUGGGUGAACCACAACUAACUCUGAUGGAAGGUUCAAUUCGUAAGCAACCUGUCCUAUAUGCUUCCCUACAUCAUACAAACCAACAAAUUGGGGACUUAGCUUCCCUUUCUUUCCAAAUCUCAUUAUUGCCUUCAUAGGUGAUACUUUCAAGAAUACCCAAUCCUUCAUUUCAAACUUGAGAUCUCUCCUCCUUACAACUACUUAUGACUUUCGAUUACUCUGAGUAGUCUUCAAUCUUUCACGAAUCAACUAAACCUGUGCCCUAGCUUCAAGAACAAAAUUUGUCCUAAUCAAUGCUGCUUCACCAACCUCAAACCAUCUUAUGGGCGACUGCCCCUACACCCGUACAAUGCUUCAAAUGGAGCCAUCUGAAUGCUAGCGUGAUAACUAUUAUUAUAGGAGAACUCAAUCAAAGGUAGAUGUUUAUCCUAACUUUAUUUAAAGUCUAAAACACACAACCUCAGCAUGUCUAACAAUGUUUGAAUUAUGCGUUCAGCCUAACUAUGGUUCUAUGGAUAUAAAAUAGUGCUAAGCUUAAUCGUUAUACCAAGGCCUUUUUGGAAAUACUGGAAAAACUACAAAGUGAUUUGUGUUCCUCUGUCUGAGAUAAUGGAUAAAGGUAUCCCAUGAAGUCUUACUAACUCAUGAAUAUACAUUUUAGCAUAAUCUUCUGCGGUAUCUGAAGUCCUGACAAGAGAAAAUGGGCUGAUUUAGUUAUUCGAUCUACUAUGACCCAAAUUGAAUCAUAUUGAUGUCUUGUACGAGGCAACCCUAUGAUGAAAUACAUAUUCACUAUUUCCAACUUCCAAGUAGGGAUACUGAUCUCCUAUAGCGUACCACUCGAUCUCUAGUGUUCAACCUUAACUUACUGGCAGUUGGGACAUUAGGCCACAAACUCUUCUAUGUCCCUCUAAAUACCAUUUCACCAAUAAAUUGCCUGUAAAUCGUUGUACAUCUUUAGUACCACCCAAAUGAAUAGAUUACCUCAAACUAUGAGCCUCGGCUAGUAUCCUUUCUCUCAACCCAUCUAUAUUAGGAACACAAAGCCUACCUUGAUAGCAAAGUACACCAUCUACCCCUUAGGAGAAAACAUCAACCAUCUAUUGUUGGACUACUUCUAAUACUUGGCUAAAUAUGGGAUCAUUUUGUUGUUUCUUCUUCACUUCCACUACUAAAGAUAAUUCUGAACUGUUCUGAACUACUGCUCCCCCAUCAUCAAUGUCGGGCAAACUACUCCUAAACGGGCUAAUAUAUGCACCUCUUUGGACAACUCCUAUUCUUUCUCCUUUACAUGAGCCACAUUACCCAUGGACAACCUUCUUAGUGCGUCUGCCACCACGUUAGCCUUACCCGGAUAAAAGAGCACACUCAUGUCGUAGUUUUCAAUAACUACAACCACCCCCUAUGACAAAGAUUCAACUCGCACAGAGAAAAUACAUAUUGAAGACUUUUGUGGUCAGUGAAAACAUCAACAUACAUACCAUAGAUGUAGUGUCUCAAAUUUUUAAGGCAAAUACCACAACAGCUAACUCUAAGUCGUGAGUUGGGUAAUUUUUUUGUGAUCCUUAGUUGCCUGGAGGCAUAAGCUAUCACUCUCCUAUUUUGCAUCAACACACAACCUAACCCAACUCUAGAAAUAUCAAAAUAUACCAUAAAUUCAUCUAAUCCUUUUGAUAAAGCUAACACAGGAGCCGAAGUCAUCUAUCCUUCAACUCUUGGAAACUCUUCUCACACUUAUCUGGCUAUAUAAACUUCACUUUAUUUUGGGUCAGCUUAGUCAAUGGUGCGGCUAUAGAGGAUAAUCCUUCAAUAAAUCUUCUAUAAUACCCAUCCAAACCCAAAAAACAACUACUAUCGGAUAGAGUGAUGGGUAUAGGCCAGUGCUUCACUACAUUAGUCUUCUGAGGAUAUACAUGUAUUCCAGCCCUUGAAAUGACAUGCCCCAAUAAAGUAACAAAUUCCAACCAAAAUUCACAUUUACCAAACUCGUAUAUAAUUGGCGGUCCUUGAGGGUCUAUAGUACUAAUCUCAAAUGGUCAGCAUAUUCCCCCUCACUCUUGGAAUACACCAGUAUGUCAUCUAUCUAGACAGUGACAAAUAUGUCCAAGUACUUCUUGAAUACCCUAUUUAUCAAAUCGAUAAAGGCUACAAGAGCAUUUGUCAGUCUAAAUGACAUAACCAUAAACUCAAAAUUAUCGUACCUUGUUUGGAAAGCUAUUUUUGGAAUGUCUUGCUCCCUGAAUUUCAACUGAUGAAUCCCUACCUAAGGUCAAUCUUUGAAAAUCACCGGUCACCCUAAAGCUGAUCAAAUAAAUUAUUGAUUCUAGGAAUGAGAUACUUGUUCUCGAUGGUAACCUUAUUUAGCUAUCUAUAAUCUAUACACGUUCUAAGAGUUCCAUUUUUAUUGUGCACGAAAAGGACCUGAGCAACCCACGGAUAAACACUGGGUCUUAUAAAACCUUUAUCUAAGAGGCCCUUCAGCUGCUCCUUUAACUCUUUAAGUUCGGCCGAAGCUAUAUAAUAUGGAGGGAUGGAAAUGGGUUGAGUACCUGGAAGAAGAUGAAUAUCGAGUUCUAUUUCUCUGUCUGGAGGUACCCCUGGUAGAUCUUCAGGGAAACCCUCUAAAAACUCAUUUACUACCCAGGCUGAUUGAACUGUCAGAACUUCAGACAUAGUAUCAUUUACUCGAACUAAAUGGUAGAUACACCCUUUUGAUAUUAACUUCCUGGCCUUAAGAUAAGAGAUGAAACGACCUUUGGGUGACAUAAAACUACCUUCUUAUUCAAAAACUGACUCACCAGGAAACAAAAACUUUACUAUGCGGGUGCAAAAAUCUAUUUAAUGCAUAACAUGAAUGGAGAAUAACAUUAAAAUCUACCAUCUCUAACUUUGUUAGGUCCACUGGUGUGAUCUUUCGAAGGACGGUGAUAGGAAACUUUUUAUAGGCUCAGCUAGCAACAACUGGAUCACCAACUAGGGUAGAAAUUGAGAAGGGCUUAGAGAGAUUUUCAGGACCUACCCCAAAAUUUAUAGCAACCAAUGGAGUUACAUAAGAGAGAUUCGAUCCUGGGUCUAACAACAUAUGUAUAUCAAGGUGAAAGGCACAAAGUAUACCAGGAGAACUCUUCUGCUCCUGACGUAAUGGUAAUGUAUAAAACUAAUUUUGGCGCUGAACGCCACCGGUACUGGAUGAUGUGCCCUGUGGAGGAACUGGGGGACCAAGCUGAGCUGCUGGAUUAGUAGCCUGAGUUUGAUAAUGAUCAUCUCUACUUCCUUGAUUAGAAUAUGGGCACUCAUUGAUCUUGUGGCCCAACUUUCCACAACUGUAGAAACCCCCUUUGCCUAUCAAACACUCACCAGGAUGGGUCCGGCCAUACUUUGCACAUGUCAGGUAACUAGGCCUCUCAACUACACUGUUCUGAGACUUGGAAUUCGGAGUCCUUCCCUAAUUCUCCUACCUGUUCCUAGGUGUAGGGGCACUGGCUAAAGAUGGCAAAGACACUGAUGAAUAACCCUGAAACUGCGAACGACUUCCUUCUGAGACCUUGGCUGACUAUACUCAAACUGUCCAGUCCUAGCUCUCUUCUUUCUCUUUUAUCUUUACUUUAACUUUUUUGCCUCAAUCUAUUGAGCAUGAGUCAUCAACCGAGCAAUAUCCAUAUCCCUAAUCAACAUGACAGUCCUACAGUCCUUGACCACCAAAUCAGAUACCCAGUAAUAAUUUUACUCAUACGAGCUCUAGAGUCAGAUAAUAACACUGAGGGAUAUUUGGCCAACUUAGCAAACUUAAGGAAUACUUUCAUAGACCUUGCCUUAAGUUUAUGAACUCUUCCAUCUACACUCUUCUCUUCAAUGACAUGCAUGAUCUGAGUAAUCUUUCUCACUUUAUCAAUAAAGAGUUGAGGAUCCUCAUCCAUAUUUGAUCCAUGGAACUUAAGUGGAUUUAUCCCCAUAAAGUCACGAAUCUGGGCUACAGCUAGGUUACUAUUUUGCUGAAGUGGGAUUGAUGCUUUUUGGUUUCCUUGAACAUUGGCAUUCACAGCUUGAGCCAACGCUUGAAAGGCAGCCUAAAAUUCAGCAUGAGAUACAUUCUCAUUCAGAAGGUCUGCAUGCAGGGGUGGUUGAUCAUUAUAUCUAUGUGUGUCAACUCUGCGAGGAGGUAUAUUCUAUCACAUAAAAGCAAAAGUUAAGGCAGAUAGAGACAACGGUAAACACGAUAGAUCAUUAAAGAAAUGAUCAUUACUAACUCACCCAUAGUCCCUUUCUCAUAAAUAUGGUAAGCUUUACAUUCAUGAUUAAGACUCUAUGUAACGUGACUUGUCUGAUACCCUAGGACUCUUUAAACCUUAGGCUCUAAUACCAAGUUUGUAAUGUCUCAAAAGUACCCCCUAGAUGUCACACGGUGCUUAAGAUUACGAAUAGUCCUAAGUUAAUCCGUUAUAUCUAUUCAUCUUGAAACUUACAUGAAAAGUGAACUAACAUAUAUAGAAACUGAAGGUAAGAUAUCUUAAUGUAAAUCCUUAACUUUGGAAACCUUAAACAAACUCCUUAAAAUUAAAACAUACACAAUAUGACAAGCCACUACUACUAACUAGAGAGCCACAGGGACAUGCCCGCAAACAAAAAUCAAGUAACUAAAGUACUUUAAUUAAUGAACAAAAGUUUGAUAAGCUGGGUCCUUGAACUAUGAGGACUUAACAAAAGUUGGGAUGCAAGUGAUGAUGCCCGUAGUCAAUCAUGCUGCUAGAAACGAGCAUCAAAACCUACAUUAUAAGACAAUGUAGCACAUAGAUGUAUAUGUGGGUCAAUACUUUUAGAACGUACUUAGUAUGUGGGGGUGAAUGCAUAAAUAAAACAAGAGUUGUAUAUAUGUAAAAGUUCAAAUAAUGCAUCCUAAGCAUAAGUGACUCACCUUGGAAUGGGGCAAAAUAAAGGCUACAAGAUCAUAAAACAUGGAUAAUGAAACAUAUGAAUAAGCUUAGUGAGCCACAAGUUCUAAAAUCUUUACUUUUAUUAUUUUUAUGGGAGAUUCAUCUAACUGAGAUAAACUAUGUGAGAUACCAUGGAGUCCAACGUCUUACCUACAUUGGGGAGAGUAGUUCUACCCUUGCUAUCAAAAUAGAGUCUUAACUUAACUUAUCACUAUACUUCAUCCAUAUUGGGAAAAUUCUUAACCUAUGGUUGCUCGCAGUUUUUAAGAAUUUAGGAUACACUCGUCUGCAUUCUCUUCUUGAUGCUAAAUAUUUCUCCCAAAAUACAUAUAUGCUCAAACUUAAGAAAUACACCUUAAAAUAACAUAAGGGUUUAUAGACUGAAAACUAGUUAUGCCUCUCUUUAAUUUAAAUCAUAAACAAGGUGAAUUUGUGGAUUUCAUGUCUUAUCUUUAGGACAAAAGAUCAAGCUUUCUUGAAUCAUGCUAUAUUGCAUAUGAAUAAAACUUCAAUAGGCUUAAACUUUCUUAUAAACUUAAUGCUUCUUCUUGAAUCUUGAAACUCUUAUUUUCCCUAAUGACACUUAUGACAAAAUAUUAGGUUCAAUACCCAUAUAGAAAUCUUUCAUCCGAAUCCAAAUCAAAGUAAUAAAAUUCAAAGCAUAGUAGAAAUCUUAAAGUUCAAAACAUGAAUAAAUGCAAUCUUUAUGCAUCCUUAGCCUUAAAAUGACAAGAUAAUGGUAUGCUUCAAUAUAUAUAAGAAUUUAAGGGAUGAAACCUAAUAUAAAACAAGUAAAUUCAAUCUUAAAAUUAUGUUUUUUGGGCACAAGGAUGGAAGAUUAACCUUGUUCAAAAAACCCAGAUACCUGAAUUUGUUUGACUUAUGAAGAAUACUUGUACUUUGAGACUUGAGAGAUGGCUUGGUGGAAAAACCCUAAUAUUGUUGUUCUUGAAGAUGGGAGUAGAAAAGAUGUUGUUAAUUGACUGAAGGAUAGAGGAAAAUAAUUCUUUUUAGGGUUAUAGGUCGUUGGUUGGGAGUUAUAAGAAGGGAAAAGACCAAAAAUUCCUUUAACUGAACUUUACAAAAAUUGAUCACCAGUCGUCACGAGUCAACCAUAUGACUCAUGUGAUGAGGGUACGGGUUGGACUAUUAACUUGUAAGCUUGGCAAUGGCAAAGAUUGCACACACUGGUCAACCUACGAGUGGUAACUUACGACUCAUUACUUGUUUAUACGACUUGAAACAACCACUCAUAUCUUGGAUAGAAACUUAGGGAACUAAUACUACUGAACUCACGACCUUACUUCAUAUGACUCGUACCAUGCUUUGACAAUUUCUAAGGUCAACUCGUAUCUACAACAGACUUUAACUACUCCACAUUGUCAUAGGUACGACUUACUUUAUAUGACUCAUAUAUUAUAUGUCCGACUCAAGGGAGUGAGUCGUAUGUUGCAUAGUGGCUUUCAGACACGGGGUAUUACAAAUGGGGGCUAUUGAAACACUAAUCCUAAUUUGAGGAGAAAAUGCAGAGAACGGAGUUUUAAUUUGUUUUUUACUAAACAUAAUUAAAAGGGGGGGGGGGGGAAAAAUAAAGGGUUGGAGGAAAAAUUCCUGGGUAAUCUCAUUUUUAGUAUAAAAUAACCAUAAUUAUAGAUACUCUAAAGUGACGGUUGACACAUCUGUUCCUAUAGAUAAAUCCAUUUUGUAUACCUAAUGCAAUGGUUAUUUUAAUUUAUUGUCCUAAUAGAUUGGAUAAUAAUAUGCGACGGUUAUAACUAUCAACAUAAAUUAUUUAUUGCAACAAUUAUAGAACUAUCUCUAAUUAAUCGUUGCCAUAGCUAUAAUUUCUAGUACUGGGAGAAAGAUCAUGAAAUAAAGGUGUGGGUAGUCUAUUCAAUAGGUACAUAAUAGUAGACACACAUUCACCCCAAAAUUCUAGAGGUAUAAAUCUCAAUGCUCUAGCCAUGUCCAAAAUAGACCUAUGCCUUAUUUCAACCACCCAUUUUGUUGGGGAGUAAAAGGACAAUAUCUUUGAUGCUCAACUCCUUUGUCUAUAAAUAAAGUCCUAAUUUGAGUACUGUGAAACUCAAUUCCAUUAUCUGAUUUGACACACUUAAUAUUAGCAUGAAACUAAUUUGUCACAGUCUGCAAAAAAUUUCUCAACACCACAACCGUAUCUAAUGUAUUGUUAAUUAAGAAAUCCAGAUAAACCUAGAAAAAUCAUCCACCAAUGUCCGAGAGUAUUUUAUUCCAUUAUGAGUAGGCACUCUAUAUGGUCCUCAUACAUCACCAUGACUUAUAUCAAAUGCACAAGAUCAGACAGUGUGGCUAGUAGGAAAUGGAAGUAUAGUUUGUUUUUGUAAUAGAAUAGAUGGUACACACAUGAUCAGUUAGAUGAACAUUAUGUAAGCCUAUAAUAUUUUUCCAAAACUUUCAAAGGGACAUGGCCUAACCUUCUAUGCCAUAGGGGGCCAUUAUUACAUAUAGUGUUUUUUCUUGUACUGGUACUUGUAUGUACAUAAUUGGACUAGAAAUGUUGUUGUAGAAUCAGUAGUUGCUUGAUGUAGGUUCACUUUGGGACAAAAAAGAGAUGAUCCCAUUCUUAUUUAUACAAUUAUGCUUUAAGAUGUAAAGUCCUUCCUCCUCUUUACCAAUCCCUAUCACCUUUUCACUUGAGAGUUCCUGAAACUUACAAAAAUUUGGGAAGAAACUAACCAUGCAAUCUGAUUCUGUGGUGAUUUUGGAUACUGAAAGUAGAUUGUACUUAAAUCCUGAAAUAUAGAGAACAUUCUGCACUUUCCUCUCUCGUAAAACUAAAGCUUCUCCUUUAUGGCUAAUAGGUACUUGAUCUCAUAUAGGUAAUUGGACAAUGUUUUGAUUCAAGCUUGCUAAUUCCUCUAAUUUUUCAAGAAGAUUAACAUUAUACACCAUAUAAUUUGGUGCACCAUUGUCAAUGAUCUAGUUAUUUGCAGCUAGAUAAGACAUAAAGGCUAAAAUAGUACCUGUAGUACCUGAUAUGCCUUAGAAAUUGCUCUUAUCUACAUUGGCCACUACAUCAGAUUCAUUUCACUUUUCUUUCUCCAAUAGUCGAAUUAACUAAGCAUUUUGUUCAUAUGUGAAAGUUGGAGCAUCUUAAGAGGUAGUUAAACUAUACUGAGAAGCUAUCUAAUAAGUAGGCUAAAACAAGUGUCCUGCAUCAGCUAAAAAGGUUCCUCCUGUACUAUGACACUAUUGCCAUAACUAGUAGAAUUUCCUCCUUUCUUUCUAAAUUUGUAAUCUGCUGGAUAUCCAUGAAGUUUGUAAUAUGCAUCCUUGGUAUGGACUUUGAGCUUACAGUACUCACAGAUCAUACCAGAUUUUUCAUAGUUGGUCCUAGGUUUGAAGUCAUUAUUAUACUAAUGUUCUGAUUAGUGAAACCACUAGUAUGGCUAUUAUUAGUAGGACCACUGGAUCUAUCACUGUAAUCAAAUUUUGAACUGAAUGAGCUACUACUAAUUCCAUGAUUAUAAGGCAUUUUAUUUAUAAGAGCAGCCGAGUCAUUGUUUUCUUCAAUCAUCACAUUUUUUCUCUGACUUUCAACAUUAAUAAUCAUAGUAUAUGCUUGAUUAACACUUGGUAAAGGUACUGUUAUUAGAAUCUGACUCCUAGCAUUAUCAAAAGACUUAUUUAUGUCCACGAAAAAUUGCCAUAGUCUAUGCAACUGAAAAUGUUCACUAUACUGCUUAGAUUCAGGGCAAGGACAUAAAGAAGGUGGAGUUAAGGCUUCAAGUUCAUCUCACAACUCUCUCAAUCUCGAGAAAUAGAUAGACACAAAAGAUACACCCUGAGUUAGAGUUUCUAUUUCCUUGUGCAAAUAAAAUGUUCUAGAUGUAUUCACCUUAUCAAACCUUUCUUUGAGAUCCUCCCAUACACUAUGAGCAUACGUUCUAUAGAUAACAGUGCUUACCAAAUUCUUAGACACAGUGUUCAUAAUCCAAGCCAAUAUAAUAGCAUUACAUCUAUCCAUAAUUCAAGCAAAUUAGGAUCAAAAUAUUCAUUACGACAAGUUCCUAACAUGAAUUCUUGUUUGUUUUUACUAAGUUGAACCAUCUUCAAGGAUUUACUCCACAACGAGUAAUUUUUGAGCUUUGAAGUUGUAUAGAAAUGAGAACCAAACCUUGAUUAUUUGAUGGAUGAAUAUAGAGGAGAUGAUUGUGAUGAAUUUUUGUGCUUGACUGUGAAUCCUUAAUAUUCUGAGGUUGAGAUUGAACGGUAGCCCCAAUGGUGGAAUCUUUGUUAUGUGCCAUUGAUUUUUUUGUUUGUCAAAAACGUGGAUUUCUUCACAUGCAAUGGCUCAAUUGAGCUAAAAAAUAUUUUGAUGUAGAGAAGCAUGAUCAAUUCCUUCUCAAAAAUGCAAAUUUUGUACUCAGUUUGGAGGAUUUUUACGAUUCCAAUACUAACUGAACCCAAAUUGCUUCAACCUUAACAACCUUUUCUUUUACUGAGAAUAAUUUACUUCCACAAAUUUAGUGUAUUGAGGCAUCAACCUAGAUGCUCUGAUUACCAUGUUGAAGAACUUAGUUAUGGGAACACUAAGAGAUUGAAACUCGGUGAAAAUAAAGAAGAAGAAGGAGAGAAAUAUCUAUUCUCACAGUUGAACCAAUGAAAUAGUAUGCUUAGUCG
rnacentral:lncRNA from 1 species